AGAGUUUGAUCCUGGCUCAGGACGAACGCUUGCGGCGUGCCUAAGAAAUGCAAGUCGAACGGGGACUUCGGUCCUAGUGGCGAACGGUCGCGUAACACGUAAGCAACCUGCCCUGAAGUGGGGGACAACAUCCCGAAACGGGCGCUAAUACCGCAUGUGGUCACGAGUCGGCAUCGGCUUGUGUCUAAAGAUUUAUCGCUUCAGGAUGGGCUUGCGGCCUAUCAGGUAGUUGGUGGGGUAAUGGCCUACCAAGCCGACGACGGGUAGCUGGUCUGAGAGGACGAUCAGCCGGAUUGGGACUGAGAUACGGCCCAGACUCCUACGGGGGGCAGCAAUUAGGAAUCUUGCGCAAUGGGGGAAACCCUGACGCAGCGACGUCGCGUGAAGGAUGAAGGCCCUCGGGUCGUAAACUUCUUUUGAGUGGGAAGAAAUUUGACGGUACCACUCGAAUAAGCCCCGGCUAACUACGUGCCAGCAGCCGCGGUAAU
rnacentral:rRNA from 1 species